rnacentral:rRNA from 1 species
UACAGGGGGUGCAAACGUUGCUCGGAAUCAUUGGGCGUAAAGAGCGUGUAGGCGGCCCGGUAAGUCCGCUGUGAAAGUCGGGGGCUCAACCCUCGAAUGCCGGUGGAUACUGUCGGGCUAGAGUGCGGAAGAGGCGAGUGGAAUUCCUGGUGUAGCGGUGAAAUGCGCAGAUAUCAGGAGGAACACCGGUGGCGAAGGCGGGUCUCUGGGCCGAUACUGACGCUGAGGAGCGAAAGCAUGGGUAGCGAACAGG